CCGCGCGCUCCCGCCGUGCCCGGUGACGUAGCGGGCGCUGAUUGGCGGGCGCGGUGAGGGGCGUGGCGAGAGGCCCCGCCCCCUCGCCCCUCGGAGCGCGGCCAUGGCGUACGGCGGCCUCGCGGUGCCCAUCAUCGUCAUGAGCGUGUUCUGGGGGGUGGUCGGCGGCGUCCUGCCCUGGCUCGUACCCAAGGGGCCGAACCGCGGAGUUAUCAACACCAUGCUGGUGACCUGUGCUGUUUGCUGCUACCUGUUUUGGCUGAUUGCAAUUCUGGCUCAACUCAACCCUCUCUUGGGGCCGCAGUUAAGCAAUGAAACAAUCUGGUAUCUUAAAUAUCACUGGCCUUAAGGAUGUGUGUGCUGUGCUGCAGUUCAUUGACAGGUGAAGAAGAGAUGAAAAACUCCACUGACCCAAAGGUCUUAGCUCGUCUGUCAUUUUUCUGUUCACCCCUGUUCUGUUUGCACUGGACACAAAUGUGUGCAAUAAACUGUGUGAGGAGAGGAGAAACAGUGAUAUCACGUGCUGAUGGCAAUUCUUUAUUUUAUUUUAUGUUCUUUUUCAAAUUAAUUGUAUUCUUGAGAAAUCUGGCCUUAAAUUUCUCAUGCCUGGAAAUAAAACUAAUCCUCUGCUUGAUACAAAAUGUUCUCGUGCCAUGUUUAACUGUUACUUUUCUGUGGGUUUAAUUGGAACCUUGGAGUUGAGCUGAGGAUAUUUAGAUGAUGUAAUGAAUUGUAAUGAAGUUAAAUAGUAGGAAUAGAUGGGGGAUUGUUGCCUGUAUCGAGACCUCUGGGGUAGAUCUAUAAUAGGAUUAAAUUUGCAAUCUAAAAUUGCUGAAAGUUGCAGGAAUAAGCGAAUCCUUGGCUUGAGAGCCUCUUUUCCAGGAAUUUCCCAUUCUCUGAGGGGGACUUGGAGUAGCAAAGGUAACGUGGUUAAUUUUGACAAAGCCUUUACAGUGAUUUUGACAGGAGGCUGAUUUAAUCCCUGGAACAUUUGGAGGGUAUUUAUAGGAGCAAAUGGCUUGAAUUGAACAGCAAGCAUUCCAGUUAUUUUCUACUGACCUGACCCUUGUGUCAGUGUGGAAUUGCUGACCUGGGAAAGCACAUGGCAACAUAGACAAGAGGUUCCUGAGGCUCCUCAGUGUCAGCUGAGUCCGUGGGAUUGGGGAUGGAUCUGGUCAGUUUGCUGAGGAGCAGCUUCAGAGGAUAUACAUGCUGCUUCCUGAAUGCUUCCUCACCUCUCAUCCAGAUAAAUUACAGUUAUUAUUUAUUGUUAUGCACAAGGACAUAAUGGAAUGGUUAAUAUUUUCUUUGCUUUUCCCUCUUGGGUAGUGCCAUUAACUUAUUCAGUGGGACAGCACUUGUAACUACACAGGAAAUUCCAAGAUCCUGACAUGCAACUUUCAGUGAUCCAAAACUGGACAGUGUGAAUUGCAAAAGAAGGAAGAACGUGCUGAUUAUUACAAAUAAGCAUAGCAGCUGUUGGGACUGGAAUAGCAGAUUUUUUUUUUUUGUCAUGUUACCUUCUAAGAGCUGUAUUUUACCAUGCAAGAUGUUGUACAUCGUCAUGUUACACAGUCUGGACCAAAUAAUUCCUAGGAAAAUUGAAACCAAGUGACCACAUGAAAACGUAAGGUUGUUUAAUUUUUGAAGUGUAUGAAGAAUAAAUAUGUUGACACUGUAUGAGGAGAGGGAGAG
ensembl:lncRNA